GGCAAUUCUGGCUUUCUGAUAUUUUCAUAGUAAAAAUCCCAAGUUCUUUACCAUUAGUUGACCAGGAAGAUGGAGCUGAAGAUGUACUUGUGAAUGUGGAGGGACAAAGAGAAGCAGAUCUCAAAGUGCGGGAAGGGAAAACACAGUCCAUCAAAAAAGAGCUAUUAGAAUGCAGACAUUCAUCUGAACUGCUAUCUUUUAUUUUAUUUUAUUUUUUAAAAAUGAUAUUUGCUGAGGAGUUCAGCGGCGACAACUCCUCCUCAGUGAUUUAUAUCUAAACUCUUUAAAAUGCAAAUGGCAUCUUGAUAUUCCCCAAUAUCCAACCAAGCUUAUGCAGGG
rnacentral:lncRNA from 11 species